CCUCCCUCCUUCCUCCUCAACUCAUAUUGCUGUAAAAGAACAAAUCAAAACCCAAAUAAAAAAGAAAAGAAUCAAAUUCUAGCUUUGGCUGCAGAGUGCACAUUGAGACUGUACAGAGAGCAAAGUGAGAAAGAAAGAAUCAAAAGGGGAGAAAUGCGUAAGGGGAAUAAAUGUAAUUUUAAAUAUUAAAUAAUUCAGAUUAAAAUAAAAAAUAUCAAGUAUUAGUUUUUCGGAUGAUUGAGACAGAAAACAUCAAAUUUUCAACUUUGGUGUUUUACCCCCUGGGUUGUAGUGUUACAAAUCAAACCACGGGGAGUAAAGUGUUAUUUACUCCAAAAUUAAUUUGCAUCACUUGUGUCAAAAUUAUUGGUACUUCAAAGUUGCACUUUUAUUAUUUUGUAAAUAUUUUUAGUUAAACAGGCUGAAUUUAAUUUUUCUUAAAUCAAAGCAUGUUUUAAUCUAUGAAGAUAUAGGUGUGUGUAAUAAAGCUUUUCUUCAUAUCUAAGAAAGAAUGUCUAGAAGAUUUCAAGGAUAUUUUAAAAAAUAUGUAUUUUCAAUGUAAAUAUAAAUUAUCAUUUUUAUUAUAUUUAUUAUUGUUUUUUUAUGUCAUGUGACACAUGUUAGAUUAACCAAUGCGAUUAUAUUAGGAAAAAUUAGUCUAAGGUCCCCUUCCUAUUUUUAGUAAUGGAAGAGGUCCACAAUAUUAUUUUUUGAUGUCUAAGGUUUCUAAACCCACAACCAUCUAUCACAGAGAAAUUUGAUAUAUCUCACACUCUCUAUCUCUCUCUCCCGUUGCUCUUCUCUCUCCUCCAUUAACUACUCUCUUAUUAAUAAUUAUUAUUUAUUUUGGUCCAAGUUCACUCUACCUUAGCAUCUUACCAACGCAACAACGAAGCUUCAGUUGAGUAGUUGCUUCGAAAUCAAUCCUACUUUUUUCGAUUUUAUUGUGAAAUUGCAGCAGCAUCAUCAAAAUCCACGCAUUUUUCGUUUUUGUUUUUCUUCCUUUUCUUUUUCGCAAUCUCUCUUUACCUAUUUCAAUGGCAAUUUCGGGUGAAUAUGCAGCAGAUUCCAAAAUUUCGCCACCAAAUACAUUCGAAUUUGUUGUAAUCAGAGGCACCUUCGACCGAUUACACGACGGUCACCUCAUUUUCUGCAAAAAAGCAGCAGAAUUGGCUAGGAUCGCAUUGUGGUUGGAGUUUGUGAUGGAUCCAUGUUGACUAAGAAACAGGUUGGAUGACUUGGACUCUAGAUUAUCUUCUCCUCCUGCUUCAGUUGGAAUGAACAAAUGUGGAUUUGGCAUCGAGGAUUUAACACGCAAAAGGCAUUGAGAAUGAGAAAAGGAUUUGAGGGACUUAAGUCCAUUGGUCGAUCACUUAAAUUUGGGGUUUCUUGAGCAGUGUUUCUAGAAGAUCUUAAAGUGCCAGAGAAGAAGAUAUUUGAUCCUCAAGAUCAAUUUCAAUUUUCCUAAAGGAACCAAGUUAAGUAGAGUUGAGUAUACUUAGUUUCCUAAAGGAACCUCAAAUUCAAUUUUCAGACAUUUUAAUCAAUUAUCCAAUUUGACUUUCUAAGUA